UACGUAGGUGGCGAGCGUUGUCCGGAUUUACUGGGCGUAAAGAGCGCGCAGGCGGUCGUUCAAGUUGAGUGUGAAAGCCCCCGGCUCAACUGGGGAGGGUCACUCGAUACUGAUCGACUCGAAGGCAGGAGAGGGAAGUGGAAUUCCCGGUGUAGUGGUGAAAUGCGUAGAUAUCGGGAGGAACACCAGUGGCGAAGGCGACUUCCUGGCCUGUUCUUGACGCUGAGGCGCGAAAGCUAGGGGAGCAAACGGG
rnacentral:rRNA from 1 species